ACGGUUAAGCCGGGAGAACAACUGCUGGUUUAGGAGGGUAGAAACCCCGGAGAAAAGCCCAGGGCAUGCGUACAUUACCGCCGGAGCAUCCUGGCGCCCAUUUUCGGGGGGAGGGGCGAAGGGGAGGGUUUGAUA
rfam:Otolemur garnettii contig002375, whole genome shotgun sequence.